AUAAAUGCUAUGAAAAGAAGAGUAACAAAUGAAAGUGUAUAAAGAGAGCCAGAUAAGGUGAAAGCUGGUUACAUGGAAGUUUGUGAAGAUGGUCUUGGAGCAGGGUAUUUGAAAUUUUUAGAAUACUACCGUUGCAACGGUUAUAAUGCAAAGUGAUAAAAUUAAUUAUUAUUAAGGAGUCACUUAUUAAGAAUUUUGUUGUGAAACAAAGUUAAAUUAGAGUGGUAACGCGUAAAUUACGUCUCUAAG
rnacentral:ncRNA from 1 species